UUAAGCGACUAAGCGUACACGGUGGAUGCCCUGGCAGUCAGAGGCGAUGAAGGACGUGCUAAUCUGCGAUAAGCGUCGGUAAGGUGAUAUGAACCGUUAUAACCGGCGAUUUCCGAAUGGGGAAACCCAGUGUGAUUCGUCACACUAUCAUUAACUGAAUCCAUAGGUUAAUGAGGCGAACCGGGGGAACUGAAACAUCUAAGUACCCCGAGGAAAAGAAAUCAACCGAGAUUCCCCCAGUAGCGGCGAGCGAACGGGGAGGAGCCCAGAGCCUGAAUCAGUGUGUGUGUUAGUGGAAGCGUCUGGAAAGGCGCGCGAUACAGGGUGACAGCCCCGUACACAAAAAUGCACAUACUGUGAGCUCGAUGAGUAGGGCGGGACACGUGGUAUCCUGUCUGAAUAUGGGGGGACCAUCCUCCAAGGCUAAAUACUCCUGACUGACCGAUAGUGAACCAGUACCGUGAGGGAAAGGCGAAAAGAACCCCGGCGAGGGGAGUGAAAAAGAACCUGAAACCGUGUACGUACAAGCAGUGGGAGCCUCUUAAUGGGGUGACUGCGUACCUUUUGUAUAAUGGGUCAGCGACUUAUAUUCUGUAGCAAGGUUAACCGAAUAGGGGAGCCGAAGGGAAACCGAGUCUUAACUGGGCGUUAAGUUGCAGGGUAUAGACCCGAAACCCGGUGAUCUAGCCAUGGGCAGGUUGAAGGUUGGGUAACACUAACUGGAGGACCGAACCGACUAAUGUUGAAAAAUUAGCGGAUGACUUGUGGCUGGGGGUGAAAGGCCAAUCAAACCGGGAGAUAGCUGGUUCUCCCCGAAAGCUAUUUAGGUAGCGCCUCGUGAAUUCAUCUCCGGGGGUAGAGCACUGUUUCGGCAAGGGGGUCAUCCCGACUUACCAACCCGAUGCAAACUGCGAAUACCGGAGAAUGUUAUCACGGGAGACACACGGCGGGUGCUAACGUCCGUCGUGAAGAGGGAAACAACCCAGACCGCCAGCUAAGGUCCCAAAGUCAUGGUUAAGUGGGAAACGAUGUGGGAAGGCCCAGACAGCCAGGAUGUUGGCUUAGAAGCAGCCAUCAUUUAAAGAAAGCGUAAUAGCUCACUGGUCGAGUCGGCCUGCGCGGAAGAUGUAACGGGGCUAAACCAUGCACCGAAGCUGCGGCAGCGACGCUUAUGCGUUGUUGGGUAGGGGAGCGUUCUGUAAGCCUGCGAAGGUGUACUGUGAGGUAUGCUGGAGGUAUCAGAAGUGCGAAUGCUGACAUAAGUAACGAUAAAGCGGGUGAAAAGCCCGCUCGCCGGAAGACCAAGGGUUCCUGUCCAACGUUAAUCGGGGCAGGGUGAGUCGACCCCUAAGGCGAGGCCGAAAGGCGUAGUCGAUGGGAAACAGGUUAAUAUUCCUGUACUUGGUGUUACUGCGAAGGGGGGACGGAGAAGGCUAUGUUGGCCGGGCGACGGUUGUCCCGGUUUAAGCGUGUAGGCUGGUUUUCCAGGCAAAUCCGGAAAAUCAAGGCUGAGGCGUGAUGACGAGGCACUACGGUGCUGAAGCAACAAAUGCCCUGCUUCCAGGAAAAGCCUCUAAGCAUCAGGUAACAUCAAAUCGUACCCCAAACCGACACAGGUGGUCAGGUAGAGAAUACCAAGGCGCUUGAGAGAACUCGGGUGAAGGAACUAGGCAAAAUGGUGCCGUAACUUCGGGAGAAGGCACGCUGAUACGUAGGUGAAGCGACUUGCUCGUGGAGCUGAAAUCAGUCGAAGAUACCAGCUGGCUGCAACUGUUUAUUAAAAACACAGCACUGUGCAAACACGAAAGUGGACGUAUACGGUGUGACGCCUGCCCGGUGCCGGAAGGUUAAUUGAUGGGGUUAGCGGUAACGCGAAGCUCUUGAUCGAAGCCCCGGUAAACGGCGGCCGUAACUAUAACGGUCCUAAGGUAGCGAAAUUCCUUGUCGGGUAAGUUCCGACCUGCACGAAUGGCGUAAUGAUGGCCAGGCUGUCUCCACCCGAGACUCAGUGAAAUUGAACUCGCUGUGAAGAUGCAGUGUACCCGCGGCAAGACGGAAAGACCCCGUGAACCUUUACUAUAGCUUGACACUGAACAUUGAGCCUUGAUGUGUAGGAUAGGUGGGAGGCUUUGAAGUGUGGACGCCAGUCUGCAUGGAGCCGACCUUGAAAUACCACCCUUUAAUGUUUGAUGUUCUAACGUUGGCCCCUAAUCGGGGUUGCGGACAGUGUCUGGUGGGUAGUUUGACUGGGGCGGUCUCCUCCUAAAGAGUAACGGAGGAGCACGAAGGUUGGCUAAUCCUGGUCGGACAUCAGGAGGUUAGUGCAAUGGCAUAAGCCAGCUUGACUGCGAGCGUGACGGCGCGAGCAGGUGCGAAAGCAGGUCAUAGUGAUCCGGUGGUUCUGAAUGGAAGGGCCAUCGCUCAACGGAUAAAAGGUACUCCGGGGAUAACAGGCUGAUACCGCCCAAGAGUUCAUAUCGACGGCGGUGUUUGGCACCUCGAUGUCGGCUCAUCACAUCCUGGGGCUGAAGUAGGUCCCAAGGGUAUGGCUGUUCGCCAUUUAAAGUGGUACGCGAGCUGGGUUUAGAACGUCGUGAGACAGUUCGGUCCCUAUCUGCCGUGGGCGCUGGAGAACUGAGGGGGGCUGCUCCUAGUACGAGAGGACCGGAGUGGACGCAUCACUGGUGUUCGGGUUGUCAUGCCAAUGGCACUGCCCGGUAGCUAAAUGCGGAAGAGAUAAGUGCUGAAAGCAUCUAAGCACGAAACUUGCCCCGAGAUGAGUUCUCCCUGACUCCUUGAGAGUCCUGAAGGAACGUUGAAGACGACGACGUUGAUAGGCCGGGUGUGUAAGCGCAGCGAUGCGUUGAGCUAACCGGUACUAAUGAACCGUGAGGCUUAACCUU
rnacentral:rRNA from 1 species